rnacentral:rRNA from 1 species
GUAGGUGGCAAGCGUUGUCCGGGAAUUAUUGGGGCGUAAAGCGCGCGCAGGCGGUUCUUUAAGUCUGAUGUGAAAGCCCACGGGCUCAACCGUGGAGGGUCAUUGGAAACUGGAGAACUUGAGUACAGAAGAGGAAAGCGGAAUUCCACGUGUAGCGGUGAAAUGCGUAGAGAUGUGGAGGAACACCAGUGGCGAAGGCGGCUUUCUGGUCUGUAGCUGACGCUGAGGCGCGAAAGCGUGGGGAGCAAACAGGAUUAGAUACCCUGGUAGUCCACGCCGUAAACGAUGAGUGCUAAGUGUUAGGGGGUUUCCGCCCCUUAGUGCUGCAGCUAACGCAUCAAGCACUCCGCCUGGGGAGUACGGCCGCAAGGCUG